rnacentral:rRNA from 1 species
AAGAAACCAACAGGGAUUACCUCAGUAACGGCGAGUGAAGCGGUAACAGCUCAAAUUUGAAAGCUAGCUCUUUUAGGGUUCGCAUUGUAAUUUGUAGAAGAUGCUUCGGGUGUGGCCCCGGUCUAAGUUCCUUGGAACAGGACGUCAUAGAGGGUGAGAAUCCCGUAUGUGACUGGGUGCUUUCGCUCAUGUGAAGCUCUUUCGACGAGUCGAGUUGUUUGGGAAUGCAGCUCAAAAUGGGUGGUAAAUUUCAUCUAAAGCUAAAUAUUGGCCAGAGACCGAUAGCGCACAAGUAGAGUGAUCGAAAGAUGAAAAGCACUUUGGAAAGAGAGUUAAACAGUACGUGAAAUUGUUGAAAGGGAAGCGCUUGCAACCAGACUUGCGCGCUGAUGAUCAUCCGGGCUUCUGUCCGGUGCACUCGUCUGCGCUCAGGCCAGCAUCGGUUUCGGUGGUGGGAUAAAGGCCUUGGGAAUGUAGCUCCUCUCGGGGAGUGUUAUAGCCCUCGGUGCAAUGCCGCCUAUCGGGACCGAGGACCGCGCUUCGGCUAGGAUGCUGGCGUAAUGGUUGUAAGCGACCCGUCUUGAAACACGGACCAAGGAGUCUAACAUCUAUGCGAGUGUUUGGGUGUCAAACCCAUACGCGUAAUGAAAGUGAACGGAGGUGAGAACCCUUAAGGGUGCAUCAUCGACCGGUCCUGAUGUCUUCGGAUGGAUCUGAGUAAGAGCAUAGCUGUUGGGACCCGAAAGAUGGUGAACUAUGCGUGAAUAGGGUGAAGCCAGAGGAAACUCUGGUGGAGGCUCGCAGCGGUUCUGACGUGCAAAUCGAUCGUCAAAUUUGCGUAUAGGGGCGAAAGACUAAUCGAACCAUCUAGUAGCUG